UGGGGAUUAGUGGCGAACGGGUGAGUAACACGUGGGCAAUCUGCCCUGCACUCUGGGACAAGCCCUGGAAACGGGGUCUAAUACCGGAUACUGACCAUCGCAGGCAUCUGUGAGGGUCGAAAGCUCCGGCGGUGCAGGAUGAGCCCGCGGCCUAUCAGCUUGUUGGUGAGGUAAUGGCUCACCAAGGCGACGACGGGUAGCCGGCCUGAGAGGGCGACCGGCCACACUGGGACUGAGACACGGCCCAGACUCCUACGGGAGGCAGCAGUGGGGAAUAUUGCACAAUGGGCGAAAGCCUGAUGCAGCGACGCCGCGUGAGGGAUGACGGCCUUCGGGUUGUAAACCUCUUUCAGCAGGGAAGAAGCGAAAGUGACGGUACCUGCAGAAGAAGCGCCGGCUAACUACGUGCCAGCAGCCGCGGUAAUACGUAGGGCGCGAGCGUUGUCCGGAAUUAUUGGGCGUAAAGAGCUCGUAGGCGGCUUGUCACGUCGGUUGUGAAAGCCCGGGGCUUAACCCCGGGUCUGCAGUCGAUACGGGCAGGCUAGAGUUCGGUAGGGGAGAUCGGAAUUCCUGGUGUAGCGGUGAAAUGCGCAGAUAUCAGGAGGAACACCGGUGGCGAAGGCGGAUCUCUGGGCCGAUACUGACGCUGAGGAGCGAAAGCGUGGGGAGCGAACAGGAUUAGAUACCCUGGUAGUCCACGCCGUAAACGGUGGGCACUAGGUGUGGGCAACAUUCCACGUUGUCCGUGCCGCAGCUAACGCAUUAAGUGCCCCGCCUGGGGAGUACGGCCGCAAGGCUAAAACUCAAAGGAAUUGACGGGGGNCCCGCACAAGCGGCGGAGCAUGUGGCUUAAUUCGACGCAACGCGAAGAACCUUACCAAGGCUUGACAUACACCGGAAAACCCUGGAGACAGGGUCCCCCUUGUGGUCGGUGUACAGGUGGUGCAUGGCUGUCGUCAGCUCGUGUCGUGAGAUGUUGGGUUAAGUCCCGCAACGAGCGCAACCCUUGUCCCGUGUUGCCAGCAGGCCCUUGUGGUGCUGGGGACUCACGGGAGACCGCCGGGGUCAACUCGGAGGAAGGUGGGGACGACGUCAAGUCAUCAUGCCCCUUAUGUCUUGGGCUGCACACGUGCUACAAUGGCCGGUACAAUGAGCUGCGAUACCGCGAGGUGGAGCGAAUCUCAAAAAGCCGGUCUCAGUUCGGAUUGGGGUCUGCAACUCGACCCCAUGAAGUCGGAGUCGCUAGUAAUCGCAGAUCAGCAUUGCUGCGGUGAAUACGUUCCCGGGCCUUGUACACACCGCCCGUCACGUCA
rnacentral:rRNA from 1 species